rfam:Triticum aestivum genome assembly, contig: Triticum_aestivum_CS42_TGACv1_scaffold_179176_2DS
CUCAUACUCCCUCCGUCCGAAAAUACUUGUCGAAGAAAUGGAUGUAUCUAGAUGUGUUUUAGAUCUAAAUACAUCCAUUUUCAUACAUUUCUGCGACAAGUAAUUCUGGACGGAGGGAGUAGAUG